UUACCAAACAUGUUUGACAGACAUUUUGUUUUAUUCAUAAGCUAUGCCGAUUAUGUAAAUACAGAAUUAUAGCUCCACACUUCCGAAUGCAUGCACGCUGGGCCUUUGAUCGUUUGAUGAUGUUGGCAUUUCCUUUCUUUCUUUUACACAUCGAGAGACCGAGAUCUGCAGUGGACGAUUAAAGACGAUGUCGUUGACAUCCAUAGAAGUGAGUUACAUACAGUCAUGGAAGCGAUUUCUGUUUUGUGUUGUGCGUGUCAUGUUUGCACUUUUUUCGGGUCACUUGCAUGUUUAAUUCUUGGCUUUGACACACUCUGUCCUAGUGGUGAUUUCUGUUUUCCAUCUGGGUCACGUUUGGACUUUAUCCUGGUCACUUGUCUGUCUAAUUCAUCUGUUUGACACAAAUUGAAGACAUGGGCCUUUGAUCGUUUGCUGAUGUUGCAGUUUUCUUUCUUUUUCAUGGCGAGAGACCGAGAUCUGCAUUGGACGACUAAAGACGACGUCGUCGACAUCCAUAGAGGUGAGUUACACACACUCAUGUAGGCGAUUUCUGUUGCGUGUGUCAUGUUUGCACUUUUUUCGGGUCACUUGCAUGUCUAAUUCUUUGCUUUGACACAGUCUGUCCUAGAGGUGAUGGCUGUUUUCCGUCUGGGUUACGUUUGGACUUUAUCCUGGUCACUUGUCUGUCUAAUUCAUGGCUUUGACACAAAUUGAAGACAUGGGACUUUGAUCGUUUGCUGAUGUAGCAGUUUUGUUUCUUUCUUUUACAUGCCGAGAGACCGAGAUCUGCAGUGGACGAUUAAAGACACCGUCGUUGACAUCUAUAGAGGUGAGUUGCAUACAUUGUCAUGUAGGCGAUUUCUUUUGUCUGUGUCACGUUUGGACUUUAUCCUGGUCAGUUGUCUAUCUAAUUUGUUUUGACACAAAUGUAAGAUAUGGGACUUUGAUUGUUUGCUAAUGUAGCAGUUUUGUUUCUUUCUUUUACAUGCCGAGAGACCGAGAUCUGCAGUGGACGAUUAAAGACGCCGUCGUUGACAUCCCUAGAGGCGAGUUGCACACAUUGUCAUGUAGGCGAUUUCUGUUGUCUGUGUCACGUUUGGACUUUAUCCUGGUCACUUUUUUUUGUCUAAUUCAUGGCUUUGACAGAAAUUGAAGACAUGGGACUUUAAUCGUUUGCUGAUGUUGCUAUUUUCUUUCUUUUACAUGCGGAGAGACCGAGAUGCGCAGUGGACGAUUAAAGAGGACGUUGACAUCCAUAGAGGUGAGUCAUACACAUUGACAGAAGCGAUGGCUGUUUUGUGUCGUCUGUCAUGUUUGCACUUUGUUCGGGUUCUUUGCAUGUCUAACUCUUUGCUUUGACACACUCUGUCCUUGAGGUGUUGGCCGUUUUCCAUCUGGGUCACGUUUGGACUUAAUCCUGGUCACUCGUCUGCGUCAUUCAUGGCUUUGACAUAAAUUGAAGACAUGGGACUUUGAUUGUUAGCUGAUGUCGCCAUUUUCUUUGUUUGUUUUACAUGCGGAGAGACUGAGAUGUGCAGUGGACGAUUAAAGAGGACGUUGACAUCCAUAGAGGUGAGUCACACACAUUGACGGAAGCGAUGGCUGUUUUGUGUCGUCUGUCAUGUUUGCACUUUGUUCGGGUUCUUUGCAUGUCUAACUCUUUGCUUUGACACACUCUGUCCUUGAGGUGUUGGCCGUUUUCCAUCUGGGUCACGUUUGGACUUAAUCCUGGUCACUCGUCUGCGUCAUUCAUGGCUUUGACAUAAAUUGAAGACAUGGGACUUUGAUUGUUAGCUGAUGUCGCCAUUUUCUUUGUUUGUUUUACAUGCGGAGAGACUGAGAUGUGCAGUGGACGAUUAAAGAGGACGUUGACAUCCAUAGAGGUGAGUCGCACACAUUGACGGAAGCGAUGGCUGUUUUGUGUCGUCUGUGUCAUGUUUGCACUUUGUUCGGGUUCUUUGCAUGUCUAACUCUUUGCUUUGACACACUCUGUCCUUGAGGUGUUGGCUGUUUUCCAUCUCGGUCACGUUUGGACUUAAUGCUGGUCACUUGUCUGUGUCAUUCAUGGCUUUGACAUAAAUUGAAGACAUGGGACUUUGAUCGUUUGCUGAUGUAGCAGUUUUGUUUCUUUCUUUUACAUGCCGAGAGACUGAGAUGUGCAGUGGACGAUUAAAGACACCGUCGUUGCCAUCCAUAGAGGUGAGUCACACACAUUGACGGAAGCGAUGGCUGUUUUGUGUCGUCUGUGUCAUGUUUGCACUUUGUUUGGGUUCUUUGCAUGUGUAACUCUUUGCUUUGACACACUCUGUCCUUGAGGUGUUGGCUGUUUUCCAUCUGGGUCACGUUUGGACUUUAUCCUGGUCACUUGUCUGCGUCAUUCAUGGCUUUGACAUAAAUUGAAGACAUGGGACUUUGAUUGUUUGCUGAUGUCGCCAUAUGUUUUGUUUCUUUUACAUGCCGAGAGACGAGAUGUGCAGUGGACGAUUAAAGACGACGUUGACAUCCAUAGAGACUGAGAUGUGCAGUGGACGAUUAAAGACACCGUCGUUGCCAUCCAUAGAGGUGAGUCACACACAUUGACGGAAGCGAUGGCUGUUUUGUGUCGUCUGUGUCAUGUUUGCACUUUGUUCGGGUUCUUUGCAUGUCUAACUCUUUGCUUUGACACACUCUGUCCUUGAGGUGUUGGCUGGUUUCCAUCUGGGUCACGUUUGGACUUAAUGCUGGUCACUCGUCUGCGUCAUUCAUGGCUUUGACAUAAAUUGAAGACAUGGGACUUUGAUUGUUUCCUGAUGUCGCCAUUUUCUUUGUUUUACAUGUCGAGAGACCGAGAUGUGCAGUGGACGAUUAAAGACGAUGUUGACAUCCAUAGAGGUGAGUCACACACAUUGAUGGAAGCGAUGGCUGUUUUGUGUCGUUUGUGUCAUGUUUGCACUUUGUUCGGGUUCUUUGCAUGUUUAACUCUUUGCUUUGACAUUCUCUGUCCUUGAGGUGUUGGCUGUUUUCCAUCUGGGUCACGUUUGGACUUUAUCUUGGUCACUUGUAUGUGUCAUUCAUGGCUUUGAUAUAAAUUGAAGACAUGGGACUUUGAUUGUUUGCUGAUGUUGCCAUUUUCUUUGUUUUACAUGCCGAGAGACCGAGAUGUGCAGUGGACGAUUAAAGACGACGUUGACAUCCAUAGAGGUGAGUCACACACAUUGACGGAAGCGAUGGCUGUUUUGUGUUGUCUGUGUCAUGUUUGCACUUUGUUCGGGUUCUUUGCAUGUGUAACUCUUUGCUUUGACACACUCUGUCCUUGAGGUGUUGGCUGUUUUCCAUCUGGGUCAUGUUUGGACUUUAUCCUGGUCACUUGUCUGCGUCAUUCAUGGGUUUGACAUAAAUUGAAGACAUGGGACUUUGAUUGUUUGCUGAUGUCGCCAUAUGUUUUGUUUCUUUUACAUGCCGAGAGACGAGAUCUGCAGUGGACGAUUAAAGACGACGUAGACAUCCAUAGAG